rnacentral:lncRNA from 1 species
CACCACCACCACUAGUACCAGUCUACUCACCACCACCGUCACCGGUCUACUCACCACCACCAUCACCAAUCUACUCACCACCACCAGUUUACUCACCACCUCCACUAGUCUACUCACCACCACCAGUCUACUCACCACCUCCCCCAAAAUACUCAUCACCUCCACCACCAGUUCACACCUACCCUCAUCCACACCCAGUUUACCAUUCUCCACCACCCCCUGCUCACAAGUAUCCUCACCCUCACCCUGUUUACCACUCUCCACCACCACCAGUUCACAAGUACCCUCAUCCUCACCCUAUUUACCACUCUCCACCACCAC